rnacentral:rRNA from 1 species
ACUCCUGCGGGAGGCAGCAGUGGGGAAUAUUGGACAAUGGGCGCAAGCCUGAUCCAGCCAUGCCGCGUGAGUGAUGAAGGCCCUAGGGUUGUAAAGCUCUUUCACCGGUGAAGAUAAUGACGGUAACCGGAGAAGAAGCCCCGGCUAACUUCGUGCCAGCAGCCGCGGUAAUACGAAGGGGGCUAGCGUUGUUCGGAUUUACUGGGCGUAAAGCGCACGUAGGCGGACUAUUAAGUCAGGGGUGAAAUCCCGGGGCUCAACCCCGGAACUGCCUUUGAUACUGGUAGUCUUGAGUUCGAGAGAUGUGAGUGGAAUUCCGGGUGUAGAGGUGAAAUUCGUAGAUAUUCGGAGGAACACCAGUGGCGAAGGCGGCUCACUGGCUCGAUACUGACGCUGAGGUGCGAAAGCGUGGGGAGCAAACAGGAUUAGAAACCCGAGUAGUCCCAUGAU